CGCAGCCGCGGUAAUUCCAGCUCCAAUAGCGUAUAUUAAAGUUGUUGCAGUUAAAAAGCUCGUAGUUGAAUUUUAGGCCUGGCCGGGCGGUCCGUCUUUGGCGAGUACUGUCUGCUGUCGGGUCUUCCUUCUGGUGAACCAGUAUGCCCUUUAUUGGGUGUGUUGGGAGCCAGGACCAUUACCUUGAAAAAAUUAGAGUGUUUAAAGCGGGCUAUUGCUUGAAUAGAUUAGCAUGGAAUAAUGGAAUAGGACGUUGUGGUUCUAUUUUGUUGGUUUCUAGGACCACCGUAAUGAUUAAUAGGGAUAGUGGGGGCAUUAGUAUUCAAUUGUCAGAGGUGAAAUUCUUGGAUUUAUUGAAGACUAACUACUGCGAAAGCAUUUGCCAAGGAUGUUUCAUUAAUCAAGAACGAAAGUUAGGGAUACGAAGACGAUCA
rnacentral:rRNA from 1 species